AUCGAUGAAGAACGCAGCGAAAUGCGAUAAGUAGUGUGAAUUGCAGAAUUCAGUGAAUCAUCGAAUCUUUGAACGCACAUUGCGCCCUUUGGUAUUCCAAAGGGCAUGCCUGUUCGAGCGUCAUUUGUACCCUCAAGCUUUGCUUGGUGUUGGGCGUCUUGUCUCUAGCUUUGCUGGAGACUCGCCUUAAAGUAAUUGGCAGCCGGCCUACUGGUUUCGGAGCGCAGCACAAGUCGCACUCUCUAUCAGCAAAGGUCUAGCAUCCAUUAAGCCUUUUUUUCAACUUUUGACCUCGGAUCAGGUAGGGAUACCCGCUGAACUUAAGCAUAUCAAUAAGCGGAGGAAAAGAAACCAACAGGGAUUGCCCUAGUAACGGCGAGUGAAGCGGCAACAGCUCAAAUUUGAAAUCUGGCUCUUUUAGAGUCCGAGUUGUAAUUUGCAGAGGGCGCUUUGGCUUUGGCAGCGGUCCAAGUUCCUUGGAACAGGACGUCACAGAGGGUGAGAAUCCCGUACGUGGUCGCUGGCUAUUGCCGUGUAAAGCCCCUUCGACGAGUCGAGUUGUUUGGGAAUGCAGCUCUAAAUGGGAGGUACAUUUCUUCUAAAGCUAAAUAUUGGCCAGAGACCGAUAGCGCACAAGUAGAGUGAUCGAAAGAUGAAAAGCACUUUGGAAAGAGAGUCAAACAGCACGUGAAAUUGUUGAAAGGGAAGCGCUUGCAGCCAGACUUGCUUACAGUUGCUCAUCCGGGUUUCUACCCGGUGCACUCUUCUGUAGGCAGGCCAGCAUCAGUUUGGGCGGUAGGAUAAAGGUCUCUGUCACGUACCUCCUUUCGGGGAGGCCUUAUAGGGGAGACGACAUACUACCAGCCUGGACUGAGGUCCGCGCAUCUGCUAGGAUGCUGGCGUAAUGGCUGUAAGCGGCCCGUCUUGAAACAC
rnacentral:rRNA from 1 species